AUUGAACGCUGGCGGCAUGCUUUACACAUGCAAGUCGAGCGGCAGCGCGGGGGCAACCCUGGCGGCGAGCGGCGAACGGGUGAGUAAUGCAUCGGAACGUAUCCUCGAGUGGGGGAUAACCCAGCGAAAGUUGGGCUAAUACCGCAUGAGCUCUGAGGAGGAAAGCGGGGGACCUGCGAGGGCCUCGCGCUGGAGGAGCGGCCGAUGUCCGAUUAGCUAGUUGGUGGGGUAAAGGCUUACCAAGGCGACGAUCGGUAGCUGGUCUGAGAGGAUGAUCAGCCACACUGGGACUGAGACACGGCCCAGACUCCUACGGGAGGCGGCAGUGGGGAAUUUUGGACAAUGGGGGCAACCCUGAUCCAGCCAUGCCGCGUGAGUGAAGAAGGCCUUCGGGUUGUAAAGCUCUUUCGGACGGAACGAAAUGGGCGGGACUAAUACUCCUGUCUGAUGACGGUACCGUAAGAAGAAGCACCGGCUAACUACGU
rnacentral:rRNA from 1 species